rnacentral:rRNA from 1 species
UACGAAGGGGGCUAGCGUUGCUCGGAAUCACUGGGCGUAAAGGGUGCGUAGGCGGGUCUUUAAGUCAGGGGUGAAAUCCUGGAGCUCAACUCCAGAACUGCCUUUGAUACUGAAGAUCUUGAGUUCGGGAGAGGUGAGUGGAACUGCGAGUGUAGAGGUGAAAUUCGUAGAUAUUAGGAAGAACACCAGUGGCGAAGGCGGCUCACUGGUCCGGUACUGACGCUGAGGUGACGAAGCG